rnacentral:rRNA from 1 species
GCAGUCGCCGCGGGAAAACGGAGGGUGCAAGCGUUAUCCGGAUUUAUUGGGUUUAAAGGGUCCGUAGGCGGACUUAUAAGUCAGUGGUGAAAGCCUGUCGCUUAACGAUAGAACUGCCAUUGAUACUGUAAGUCUUGAGUAUAUUUGAGGUAGCUGGAAUAAGUAGUGUAGCGGUGAAAUGCAUAGAUAUUACUUAGAACACCAAUUGCGAAGGCAGGUUACCAAGAUAUAACUGACGCUGAGGGACGAAAGCGUGGGUAGCGAACAGGAUUAGAUACCCGGGUAGUCCCUGUCUCUUAUAC